UACGGAGGGUGCAAGCGUUAAUCGGAAUUACUGGGCGUAAAGCGCACGCAGGUGGCUGAGUCAGUCGAUUGUGAAAGCCCUGGGCUUAACCUGGGAAUUGCAGUCGAUACUACUCAGCUAGAGUAUGGGAGAGGGCAGUGGAAUUCCCAGUGUAGAGGUGAAAUUCGUAGAUAUUGGGAAGAACACCGGUGGCGAAGGCGGCCAACUGGACCACAACUGACGCUGAGGCGCGAAAGCGUGGGGAGCAAACAGG
rnacentral:rRNA from 1 species